AACAAACGCUGGCGGCGUGCCUAAUACAUGCAAGUCGAACGGGGAAAGCUUUCGGGUGAGUACUAGUGGCGCACGGGUGAGGAACGCGUGGAUAAUCUGCCUUAGAGUGGGGAUAACUGGUCGAAAGAUUAGCUAAUACCGCAUAAGACCACAGGAGCUGCGGCUCAAGGGGUCAAAGGUUUUUCGCUCUAAGAUGAGUCCGCGUAAGAUUAGCUAGUUGGUGAGGUAACGGCUCACCAAGGCGACGAUCUUUAACUGGUCUGAGAGGAUGAUCAGUCACACUGGAACUGAGACACGGUCCAGACUCCUACGGGAGGCAGCAGUAGGGAAUAUUGCACAAUGGAGGAAACUCUGAUGCAGCGACGCCGCGUGAGUGAUGAAGGCCUUCGGGUCGUAAAGCUCUGUCGCAGGGGAAUAACACAAUGAAGGUACCCUGUAAGAAAGGAUCGGCUAACUUCGUGCCAGCCGCCGCGGUAAUAC
rnacentral:rRNA from 1 species